CCCUACGGGAGGCAGCAGUGGGGAAUAUUGCACAAUGGGGGAAACCCUGAUGCAGCGACGCCGCGUGAGCGAAGAAGUACCUCGGUAUGUAAAGCUCUAUCAGCAGGGAAGAAAGUGACAGUACCUGACUAAGAAGCCCCGGCUAACUACGUGCCAGCAGCCGCGGUAAUACGUAGGGGGCAAGCGUUAUCCGGAUUUACUGGGUGUAAAGGGAGCGUAGACGGCAGUGCAAGUCUGAAGUGAAAGCCCCGGGCUUAACCCGGGAACUGCUUUGGAAACUGUACGGCUGGAGUGCUGGAGAGGUA
rnacentral:rRNA from 1 species